rnacentral:lncRNA from 1 species
AAUUCGAGAUCAUGAAUUCAUCCAACAAGGUGAUGAAUCAACAAUAUCAUGCAUCCAUCUUUUUUACACUUGGUGUCUUGACGCGGCUGGUUGAAUCCCACAUAAAAUUAGUAGGAUUUUUACUCACUAAAUAAGAAAAUAACAUGAAUGUCACAUCAUUAAUUUUUUUCAAAAAAAAUUGGAAAUCAAAAAUAAAAAAAGAAAAAAUUCUUCCCCACCCUUUCUCAGACCCCUCCCAAAAUCUUCUUAGAUAUAUUUAGG